GAAGAAGCAAUAAACACAUUCAGGGAAAGUUAGGACAGGAGAAGUGGAGACGGGAACAGAGAGAAGAGGGUGGGCUGACACUGGAAGGUUUUUCCACAUGGUGCCCAGGUCCAAACGUGCCAGGCUGAGUGUGGAAAACAACCGGCUUGAGAGCCAUGCUGUGGAGAACAAAGAGAUAGAGGGGCUAUUUGUUCAGGCUUCACUCUCCUGUACACAGGAAAUCCAGGAGGGAAAUGAGAGUAUGGAGAGCCCAGUAUGCCAACUGUCUCCAUGUACCCUGGCCCAUGUCAAGAGCUGAACGUUACUCCCGUGUUGUGCUCUGUCAGACUGAGUGACAUCUCGCCACACCUCAAAGCCUUCGGUCUUUCUUAAGUGCGGUGAGGCUUCCCCUAGCUCUUAGCUAGACCUUAAUGCAGACAAGCAAGUUCAUCAGAUGGCAACUGUCAUGACAACACAGCAAUCCAACCUUUUCCAGUCUUUGCCUCAAAAUAAAAGCAAACAGUAACAGCAA